UAUUGACGAGCAGAGUGGGAAGGAG
rnacentral:misc_RNA from 1 species